rnacentral:rRNA from 1 species
UACAGAGGUCUCAAGCGUUGUUCGGAUUCAUUGGGCGUAAAGGGUGCGUAGGUGGCGCUGUAAGUCGGGUGUGAAAUUUCGGAGCUUAACUCCGAAACUGCAUUUGAUACUGCGGUGCUUGAGGACUGGAGAGGAGACUGGAAUUCACGGUGUAGCAGUGAAAUGCGUAGAGAUCGUGAGGAAGACCAGUGGCGAAGGCGGGUCUCUGGGCCGAUACUGACGCUGAGGAGCGAAAGCGUGGGGAGCGAAACAGG